GUUUGAUCAUGGCUCAGAUUGAACGCUGGCGGCAGGCCUAACACAUGCAAGUCGAGCGGAAACGAGAAGUAGCUUGCUACUUCGGCGUCGAGCGGCGGACGGGUGAGUAAUGCAUAGGAAGUUGCCCAGUAGAGGGGGAUAACCAUUGGAAACGAUGGCUAAUACCGCAUAACCUCUUCGGAGCAAAGCGGGGGACCUUCGGGCCUCGCGCUACUGGAUACGCCUAUGUGGGAUUAGCUAGUUGGUGAGGUAAUGGCUCACCAAGGCGACGAUCCCUAGCUGGUCUGAGAGGAUGAUCAGCCACACUGGGACUGAGACACGGCCCAGACUCCUACGGGAGGCAGCAGUGGGGAAUAUUGCACAAUGGGCGAAAGCCUGAUGCAGCCAUGCCGCGUGUAUGAAGAAGGCCUUCGGGUUGUAAAGUACUUUCAGUUGUGAGGAAGGGUGUGUAGUUAAUAACUGCGUAUUUUGACGUUAGCAACAGAAGAAGCACCGGCUAACUCCGUGCCAGCAGCCGCGGUAAUACGGAGGGUGCGAGCGUUAAUCGGAAUUACUGGGCGUAAAGCGCAUGCAGGUGGUUUGUUAAGUCAGAUGUGAAAGCCCGGGGCUCAACCUCGGAAGGUCAUUUGAAACUGGCAAACUAGAGUACUGUAGAGGGGGGUAGAAUUUCAGGUGUAGCGGUGAAAUGCGUAGAGAUCUGAAGGAAUACCAGUGGCGAAGGCGGCCC
rnacentral:rRNA from 1 species